rnacentral:misc_RNA from 1 species
AAGUCGUAACAAGGUUUCCGUAGGUGAACCUGCGGAAGGAUCAUUUCGAAUUAUAAGCGAGGGUUGUCGCUGGGCCUCUUUCGGGCAUGUGCACGCCCGAGCUCUAAAUCCCACAACACACCUGUGAAACCCCACCCGUAGGCCUUCGGGCUUAUGUAUAUAUCUCUGAAUGUGUCAUAGAAUGUUCAUGUUGCCUUAAAACGCAUCAAUACAA